UACGUAGGGGGCAAGCGUUGUCCGGAAUUAUUGGGCGUAAAGAGCUCGUAGGCGGUUUGUCGCGUCUGCUGUGAAAACUGGGGGCUCAACCCCCAGCCUGCAGUGGGUACGGGCAGACUAGAGUGCGGUAGGGGAGAUUGGAAUUCCUGGUGUAGCGGUGAAAUGCGCAGAUAUCAGGAGGAACACCGGUGGCGAAGGCGGCUUACUGGGUCUCUUCUGACGCUGAGGAACGAAAGCUAGGGUAGCGAACGGG
rnacentral:rRNA from 1 species